ensembl:snRNA U6 U6 spliceosomal RNA
GUGCUAGCUUUGGCAGCACAUAUACUAAAAUUGGAAUGAUACAGAGAUUAGCAUGGCCCCUGUACAAGGAUGACAUACAAAUUCAUGAAGCAUUCCAUAUUUUU